rnacentral:lncRNA from 1 species
AUAUCCAUUAUCUAUCAUCCCUAAAUACCGUGCCAUAGAGAAUAUGUCCAGACCCUUUGAAGGAUAAGUGUGAACAACCAUUAUUCUAGACUCUCUCAAAGCAACCUGAACCAAGACAUCCCUAGCAUCAUCCACUGUUGCUUCAGGUUUCACAAGAGAAUAUGUCCAGACCCUUUGAAGGAUAAGUGUGAACAACCAUUAUUCUAGACUCUCUCAAAGCAACCUGAACCAAGACAUCCCUAUCAUCAUCCAAUGUUGCUUCAGGUUUCAUAGCUGCCUUAUAAGAGAUCGAACAUCGUCUCUUGGCCAGCUGAUCUGCUAAUGCAGCUAUGCCAUUUCUUCCAAAAUCAUCAUCAAUAUAUAUAGCAAUCACUUCUCUCCAUUCGUAAUGAUCAAUUAUUUCA